rnacentral:rRNA from 1 species
AGUGAACGCUGGCGGCGUGCCUAAUACAUGCAAGUCGAACGAUGAAGUCCUAGCUUGCUAGGAUGGAUUAGUGGCGCACGGGUGAGUAAUAUAUAGUUAAUCUGCCCUACACAGAGGAACAACAGUUGGAAACGACUGCUAAUACCUCAUACUCCUAUUUGACAUAAGUUAAAUAGGGAAAGUCUUUUCGGUGUAGGAUGAGACUAUAUCGUAUCAGCUAGUUGGUAAGGUAAUGGCUUACCAAGGCUAUGACGCGUAAUUGGUCUGAGAGGAUGAUCAGUCACAUUGGAACUGAGACACGGUCCAAACUCCUACGGGAGGCAGCAGUAAGGAAUAUUGCGCAAUGGGGGAAACCCUGACGCAGCAACGCCGCGUGGAGGAUGACACUUUUCGGAGCGUAAACUCCUUUUAUCAGGAAAGAAUAAUGACGGUACCUGAUGAAUAAGCACCGGCUAACUCCGUG